rnacentral:rRNA from 1 species
AAUUACCUACGGGGGGCAGCAGUAGGGAAUAUUGCGCAAUGGGCGAAAGCCUGACGCAGCGACGCCGCGUGAGGGAUGAAGGUCUUCGGAUCGUAAACCUCUGUCAGCAGGGAAGAACGGUCACUGUGCUAAUUAGCAGUGAAUUGACGGUACCUGCAAAGGAAGCACCGGCUAACUCCGUGCCAGCAGCCGCGGUAAUACGGAGGGUGCGAGCGCUAAUCGGAAUUACUGGGCGUAAAGCGCUCGUAGGCGGUAUGUCAAGUCAAGGGUGAAAACCCC